rnacentral:rRNA from 1 species
GACAGAGGGGGCGAGCGGUGUCCGGAGUCACUGGGCGUAAAGCGCGCGCAGGCGGCAACCUUAGUGUCGUGUGAAAGCCCCCGGCUCAACCGGGGGAGGCCAUGGCAAACUGGGUCGCUCGAGCUGCGGAGAGGCCCCUCGAAUUGCCGGUGUAGCGGUGAAAUGCGUAGAGAUCGGCAGGAAGACCAAGGGGGAAGCCAGGGGGCUGACCGCAGGCUGACGCUGAGGCGCGACAGCGUGGGGAGCAAACCGG